GUGGGAGCAACUUAUGCUUUCAGCUCUGUGAGGGACAUUUUCAGACUCACGGCUUCCUGCAAGGGACAGAACAAGACGCCCUGAGAGUGAGCUUGCUGUCCACAGAGUUCCCAGAAGUGGGACCCAGGCCUCCAGCUGCAGCCUGUCCAGGUUCCCUAUCGGAUUAUAAAGCUUAACAUUUUUGUGAAGGAAGAAGAAAGCCUUCCCUCUGGAGAGCGAUAAGAACAUUCCAUCCUCCUCUGGCUCCAGGGAGCCUGGGAAACAAUCACCAAAGGGAGAGAGACUCCCCAGGGACAGGCUCCCGAGGGCACGGGCAGGGCUGCCCUCUGCUGGCCCUCCCACCCGCUCCUGCCCUUCACUCCACAGAGGCCUGGUCUGGUCUGUGGUCAGCCAGUGAGAUCCUGGGGCAGGGGCCUGGGGAAGGGGGCAGGCCUCAGGCUGCACAGACUAAGGUUCCUUGGGGUGGAGGGCUUCUCCGUAGCCUGGCUCCAUAGCUGGGGGGCACAAGGAACCUUGGGCACCAGCUCUCUUGAAUGUGAAUUGUGCAAUCUUGGCAGUAAGAGCUUCCUCCAAGGAGAUCACUCAGAAGACAGGCCAUAUGGGAGUUAAUUUGCAGUGGGGUUGUGCAUAGUUAAGGGAAACCACCAAGGGGUAUGAAGCAUCCCCCGACUAGCAAUGUGGGCGAGAGUAGUUACCAGAAUGCUGUUGGAAGGAGCAGGGCCAUGGCCAAGUUGAGGCCCCUCAAGGCUGGAGUCUCUCUCUGCUCUCAGCCUCUGGUCUCCUGCAGCCGAAAGGCAAGGAUGCCUGAAUACCACAGUCCAUGAAAGUCAGCCUCCUGCACAGAGUGAGGAGAGCCGGGAUCCAGAGGAGCACACGGAGAAGAUCCACAUACAAUAAUAUCUGUUGAAUGAACGAAUAAAUGCCCUUAAGAAACCCACAUAUUGUUGAAGACAC
rnacentral:lncRNA from 10 species